UAAUACGUAGGGUGCGAGCGUUAAUCGGAAUUACUGGGCGUAAAGCGUGCGCAGGCGGUUUUGUAAGCCAGAUGUGAAAGCCCCGGGCUUAACCUGGGAAUGGCAUUUGGGACUGCAAGGCUUGAGUGCGGCAGAGGAGACUGGAAUUCCUGGUGUAGCAGUGAAAUGCGUAGAUAUCAGGAGGAAUACCGAUGGCGAAGGCAGGUCUCUGGGCUGACACUGACGCUCAUGCACGAAAGCGUGGGGAGCAAACAGGAUUAGAUACCCUGGUAGUCCACGCCCUAAACGAUGUCGACUGGUUGUUGGGGGUUUGACACUCUCAGUAACGAAGCUAACGCGUGAAGUCGACCGCCUGGGGAGUACGGCCGCAAGGUUA
rnacentral:rRNA from 1 species